ACAAGUCAUUGUUUUUCUUAAAAAAAAUUCUUUAGAUAUAAUGAAGAUCUGGAACUUGAAGAUGCCAUUCAUACAGCCAUAUUAACCCUAAAGGAAAGCUUUGAAGGGCAGAUGACAGAAGAUAAUAUAGAAGUUGGAAUCUGCAACGAAGCCGGAUUUAGGAGGCUUACCCCAACUGAAGUUAAGGAUUAUUUGGCUGCCAUUCAUAAUCAAAUAAUGAAGUGACUGAAAAUGCAGAAUUUCAGAUAACUUCUCUACUUAAACAUGUUUAAAGUAUGUUUUGUUUUGCAGACUUUUUGCAUACUUAUUUCUACAUGGUUUGAUGGACUGAUGUUUUUAAAAUGAGACUUAUAAAUCAUAAUAAACUCUUAAAUUAACUUCCAGCGUUUUAGGAGUUAGUAAACUUUUAACAUAGUUAUUUCCUGCUUUCCAUCACAGUUGAUUUCUGGAAACUACAUUGAAAAGCAGAAUGGUGAAAUUGGUCUUUAGUCUUCACACAGUUUGGGUUAAGUCAAACCUUGUCAUCUUCUUUACUGUCAGAUGUUGUCUGCUUCAGGAAAGCAAAAUCCUGAUUUCAGUAAACACUGCUUUUGGAGCUGAGAGAAUCUGUAGACUUUCAUGGAUUCUGAGGCAAGGUAGGAAGCAUAGCUGUAUUUCAGGCACCAUUAGGUGUGGAUCAGUGAAACCCAGGAUGUUCUAUGAGAUUGCACUGGAGCCGCCGAGAGUGCUGAGCCAAACAGUCUCCUAUAGGAGAUGUACUAUGUAAAUACAUAAAAAACGGUGUGCUAGUUCCUGUUGACUUUUCCGUCACAAGUACAUAAAUGUAUUUCAAAAGAGCCCCCUAGAGUCUACUAGAUCUUUCUAACUCCAGGAUGAACAUGAGUGCUGGAAAUAAAAUGCUAAUACUUAAAUGUCAAAA